rnacentral:rRNA from 1 species
AGUGUAGGUGGCCAGGCAAGUCAGAAGUGAAAACCCGGGGCUCAACCCCGGGACUGCUUUUGAAACUGCAGGGCUAGAGUGCAGGAGGGGCAAGUGGAAUUCCUAGUGUAGCGGUGAAAUGCGUAGAUAUUAGGAGGAACACCAGUGGCGAAGGCGGCUUGCUGGACUGUAACUGACACUGAGGCUCGAAAGCGUGGGAGCAAACA